AAAGUCGUAACAAGGUCUCCGUAGGUGAACCUGCGGAGGGAUCAUUAACACGUAUCCACGUACCACUAGUAAACCGAACACAAAGGUUCCGCUCGAGUCAGCAUCUGGACGCAAACAGUAGGGAGAACUCGCGUCUCCGUCCACGCUGACGAGGAACCUCAAGUCACGGACUGACUCAAAACGUCCCGGAUUGGGCUUGUCUCGAUCGCAGUUUGCUACUGUUUUGUACUUCUAUCACUUUGACUACUGAACCUUUUGACUGAAAAUAUGGGAGGCCCUCUGAAAGGACGGCAGCCCGAAAACCGCGUACCAUUCAUACAACUCUUAACAACGGAUAUCUUGGUUCUC
rnacentral:misc_RNA from 1 species